UAAAGGGAGACCUAAUUCCGGUAGGAGACGAAAAAAAAGUAGUCCCUACCAAGAAUCAAUCCCAAAAGGUCGGAGCGAGGCAAAAUUGGCUUUCAAACUAGGUUCUGGGUUCACACAAGACCUGAAUCAGGAACAAGGGCUAUUAGCUCAGGUGGUUAGAGCGCACCCCUGAUAAGGGUGAGGUCCCUGGUUCGAGUCCAGGAUGGCCCACCUGCACAGGUGGCAAAAACAAAGAAAAAAAGCUCCGAAUCAGCACCUUAUCUUACUUAUAUAGUAAGAGAGAAUGCUGGCUCUGAGUACAGAGUCCAGAGGAACCUUGAAAACUGCAUAGAGCUAGGUGAAAAAGCCAAAAAGAAGACCGCAA
rnacentral:tRNA from 1 species